rnacentral:lncRNA from 1 species
GGUGGUGUUGGAUUUUCUGGGGGAGGGGAGAAUAAGGAGGAGGGGCCCUCUAGAAAGGUCGCUUGGGAAGGGGAGCGAGGGGGGGGUGUCUUCCCUUCUGUUGGGAUCCUGCCAGAUCUUUCUUGGAAGCCAGGAGAUCCCUUCACGGCUCACCCCCCCCCCUUGGCUUCUCUUGAUCAUUUCAAUGUAGGGUGGGGUGUCUUUGACGCUGCUUUAUCAGUCCUUCCCCAGCUGUUCUUUUCGGAUCCUUCCUUUCCUCUCUCCCUUCUUCCUUCUCUCUGUCCCUCCCUUCUUUCCACCAUCCUUCCUUUCCCUUCCUCCUCCCUCCCUACCCCAUUCUUUCUUCCCUCCCUCCCUCUUCUUUCUCUAUCCUUCCCUUCCGUCUUCCCACCAUUCCUCCCUCCCUCCUUUCUUCUCCCUCCUCCUCUCUCCUCUCUAUCCAUCCUUCCCUUCUUUUCUCCCUCUAUUGAUCUUCCAUCCUCCCUCCCUCCUUCCCUCCUCUGCUUCCUUCCUCUCUCCCUGUCCCCUUUCCUUCCCCUCCUAUACACUUCCUUCCUUUCCUUCCCUUCUUCCUUUUUUCCUUUUUCCUUCCCUUUCCUUCCUUCCCUCCUCCUUUCUUCUCUCCUUCCCUACAUUCUUCCCUUUCUUCUUCCUUUCCUUCCUUUCCUCUUUUCCUUUCUUUUUCCUUCCCUUCCCCUUCUUUUUCCUUUCCUUCCCUUCCCUUCUCCUUCUAUUCCCUUCCUUCCAUCCCUAUUUCCACCAUCCUUCCCUCCCUUCCACUCUCAACUCCUCCCUCCCUCCCUUUCUUCGCCUUUCCUCUUCCUCCAAUUCCACUCAUCCUUCGGGAAGGUGAAUUUUCAAACUGCAGCUGGGUGUGGCAAACCUCAAGGACUCAAGAUGAUCGAAAAAAAUCUCUUUUGGGCCUUUGCAAAACAUCCCCCUUUCCCGUCCAGCCGUCGCUCUUUUGGCCUUCUGUCCGCAUACUGCAGCCCAGCUCCUCUGCCUUCUUCCUCACUCUUCCCUCCGGCCACCAACCUUGCAGUGCUGGCCUCCUUUUAG